rnacentral:rRNA from 1 species
UACCUGCUACGCGGAUACCCGUAGUAAUUCUAGAGCUAAUACAUGCGUAAACACCCAACUCUUGUGGACGGGUGGUAUUUAUUAGAUUGAAACCAAUAUGCUUCGGCAUUUUUGUGGUGAUUCAUAAUAACUUUGCGGAUCGCAUGGCCUCGUGCCGGCGACAGAUCAUUCAAGUUUCUGCCCUAUCAGCUUUGGAUGGUAGGGUAUUGGCCUACCAUGGCUUUAACGGGUAACGGAGAAUUAGGGUUCGAUUCCG